AGCCAGACUCCUACGGGAGGCAGCAGUGGGGAAUAUUGCACAAUGGGGGAAACCCUGAUGCAGCGACGCCGCGUGAGCGAUGAAGUAUUUCGGUAUGUAAAGCUCUAUCAGCAGGGAAGAAGAUGACGGUACCUGACUAAGAAGCCCCGGCUAACUACGUGCCAGCAGCCGCGGUAAUACGUAGGGGGCAAGCGUUAUCCGGAUUUACUGGGUGUAAAGGGAGCGUAGACGGCGAUGCAAGCCAGAUGUGAAAGCCCGGGGCGCAACCCCGGGACUGCAUUUGGAACUGUGUGGCUGGAGUGUCGGAGAGGCAGGCGGAAUUCCUAGUGUAGCGGUGAAAUGCGUAGAUAUUAGGAGGAACACCAGUGGCGAAGGCGGCCUGCUGGACAUUAACUGACGCUGAGGCGCGAAAGCGUGGGGAGCAAACAGGAUUAGAUACCCCUGUAC
rnacentral:rRNA from 1 species